CGCGGGCGGGAGGUGCUGGGGACGGGGUCGGUGAGGGGUGGAUGGAGGCUUUGCUGAGGCCAGUCAGGCUGCUUCUACAAUCCGCACACUCUUUGCUUAUGGAGGACUCUUUGAGUAUGGGUAACCCCUUAAUCCCUCAGUUAGUGUCCUCCAUGUGCAGCCUGGGAGUGUGAGGGCUGCCCUAAGGAUAGGGGGCUCUGCUUCCUUAAGCUUUGCUAUGGUUUAAGCUGGGUGUAAGCCUAUAGCACCAAAGACCCGGUGGAUUUUUUUGUGGUAUAAAGGGGCAGGCGCCAUGCCCUUUUUCAAGGGCUUUGAUCUCCCUUGUUUUAGUGGUGGCCCUCUGUCCCUGUGUGCUUUCCUGAGGCGCUGCCCGUGUCGCUGUCCCAGCCCUGCGCCCAGGAUUCAGCCUCUGCCGCCCGCUGACAUGAGGGGAGGCAGGAGCCGGCGUGCCCUGCUCCAGACACAGCCCUCUUGGGGUUCCCAGGGACAUUCCCUGCUCUUGUGCAGCUCCUGCCUCUUUCUCUGUCCGUGUCUGGUUGCCUCCAUGCCCAGCCAGACGAACCAAAGGGCUGUCAUACGUGGUACAGCUGAAAACCCAUCCUCAUGGCAAUGGUGCCAAGGCAAACCGAAGUGGGAACGCCCAUGCUGGAGUUCUGGAGCUGCAGGCAGAAUGUCUGGUACUUGUGUUUGUUUCAGGGUAGAUGUUGUGUGCGAUGAAUCUGCUGCACUACAGGGUAUUGCUGCAUUUGGAACCACAACCUCGUGGCCUUCCUGAGACCUGAUUUUAUGACAACGGGGUGGCCCACGGGAACUCAUCCAACAACAUAUUAGCAGAUAAAGGGAAACUGUUUUUCUCUGUGUUUUUGUUGUGCUCUGUUUUGUAGCUGAGACCAUUUACCCUGUCUUGUGCUGGGAGUUAGUGCUGUUACAGGAAUGCUUCUCUAUGUUGUCCCUCAAUUUGCCAUUUAAAUAGAGGGCUAUUUUCCAUUUAUUCAUGCCCUGUAGAUCUAGUUGUGUUUAUCAGUAAUUUGUGACAUUCCACCAGGUAUUAUAGGGAAAACAAAUGUUAGUAUCUGAUGCUGUACAUCUGAAAAGUGUCUAAUGCAUCUAAACUGCUGAGGUCUCUAUGUUAGUGUUGCAAGCUUCAAGGAAAGAAAGGUGGGAAAACAUAAAAGGAAAUAAUAGCUGAAAGCAACUCAUUUUUAAGUGAAAAAGAUAAGAGAAAUUUCUCUGGAUAAGGAGGAGGGGAGGGUUUGUGGAAAGUGAUUCUCUUGUUAAACACAGAUGCGAACUUCUUUAGUAACAAACCCUUGGUAUUUAGGAAAACAUUAGGAGCCAUCACUUCUCCAGGUGUAUUCACUACUGAGUCAAGAAAGAAAAAAGAAACUUUAGAGAAAACAGUAGUUAGAAAAGCAAUUGUCUAUUUGUUUUCUUUUCUCUGUUUUUAGGCAUUACUAGUUCAAGGAAUUUCUUAUAAAGCAGUGAUAGAACUGAACACUUUCAAACAUGGUUUGAUGUGUUAAAUUUUUCAAAAAUUUGAUGUCAUGCCAGGCAUAUUAUAAAACUGUACCAUUAAAUUUUUUGUUAAAAACUAGAAAUACAUUCAACCCUAGUGUUAAUUUAAAAAAAAAAAAUGGGCUUUGUUUUGUCAAAUUAAUAUUGCAUUUCCUUCCCUAAUUCACUGUAGGUAAAAAUUAUAGUUUAGGCACUAAAUGGAUUCAAGAAAUAACUUGUGUUCAUUUUGUUAAAGAUGUACAUCACUGUGGAGCAAGUAGGAAGAGGGUGGGAUGGAAAAUACUGUUUUAUGUUGACUUACUUAAUCUGAAGAAAAGUCUACAUUUAAUUAAACUUCCCAGCACACUUUCUUUUUUCCUCCCAAAGGAGUUGCUUAAAUAUGGUUGGAUCAGGUACACUCAUACUUUGCCAUGAUGCAGCAGACAAGUCUCAGCUACUCUUUAAGAGGAUACAGAAUUGUACAGUAAUUAGAGCACGUGGAUCAGUUUAUAGAACUCUUCUUAAAUGUCUGUCUGAAAAGUUAAUGUUGAUGACCUGCUCUCCCUUUUUAUACAGGAAGAAAAAAAAAAAAAGAAAUAAAACAAGGGAAAUUUGGUUUUAUAUUAUAGAACUUGCAUUGAAUUGAGGUGCUGUUUGCAAAAGUCCCAGAGAGAUCCAGAAAGACAAGGUUAUGAGAGCUGUUUCCAGUGGGCAAGCACAAACUCUAUUUAAACCCUGUUGCACCUGUUGGAAAACGUGUUUUCUUAUUCAAUAAAAAUUAACAAGUUGAAUGAGAAUUGCUAAUACUUAACCAGAGGGUAAAAUGUUCUCCCUUUGUACUGGCAGUGACACUGUAGUGGUGAAGUCCCUGGGCAGGAGUGAAGGAGCCAAAAGAAGAGGUGAAUGGUUCAUGGGGAAUCUGCCCUCUUACUGUAUCUUGCUCCCUGCCAUGACAAUAUGGAAUGAAGUUGCUUGCAGGUGUGGUGUGCUGCAGGUGGAAUAUCAAAGCAGCCUUGAGGCUGAACUGGCUGAGAUGUGAAGCCCAAUGGGAAGUCCCAAUUGUUAUGUGGAAGGGAAAGUUAAAACAUUCUUCAGUGAGAAUUAAUGCUUCGGUCAUAUUCUCCAGAGCUUUGCAAGGAGGAACACCUUAAGAUAAGGAGAGACAGCUUCCUAUGACAGCAGGAAAGUUUGACUCUGCUGUCAUUUAAAAUACCGUUUCAAAGGUCGUGUUUGUGUUUUAAAUGAAAUGUGAAGCUGAACUUUAUGCUCUGCCAGAUAACAGUAGUAGUGAUGCAAGUGCUUCCUUUGAAUUCUGCAGGGAGGUGACCUGAGGCACUCUCCAAUUUUGUUAGCAAUUUCCUUGGGCUCAGACUGUGUUACAGAGAGACUGCUCAAGAAACAGCACCCACCUACUCCCAAGGUUUUCCCUCAGAAGUGGCACAUGGGCUCUACCUCUCCUGUCCUGCUUGUGCACCUUCUGCCCUACGUGACCAAGAUCCUGCUCUGCACCCCUGGGAGGGUAAGUGGGGAAGAUGGUGCAUGGCUUUUCCAGAUCUCUAUAAGAAAACCCCAA